rnacentral:rRNA from 1 species
GAAGUUGCCGCUUGGGAGGCCCUCCUUCAGGACAUCGCCGUCCUCCCUAUGGACGGCGCCGUCACCCCGGACGCCAUCUCUUGGCGUCUGGAACCUUCCGGCUGCUUCUCCACAAAAUCCCUCUACGCGGCCAUCGCCCCCUCGACGGCCCCCGAGCCCUUUAGUUUGAUUUGGGACAUCCGCCUGCCCCUGAAGAUCAGGAUCUUCCUGUGGCAAUGGAUCCGAGGCCGCCUCCCGUCCGGCGUGGAGGUCCUUAAGCGCUAUGGACCCGGGGAUGGGAUGUGCCCC